rnacentral:tRNA from 1 species
ACCUGGGUGGCUCGGUUAGUUGAGCGCCUGACUUCAGCUCAGGUCAUGAUCUCACGGUUCGUGGGUUCAAGCCCCGCGUCAGGCU